CCUACGGGUGGCAGCAGUGGGGAAUAUUGGACAAUGGGGGGAACCCUGAUCCAGCCAUGCCGCGUGUGUGAAGAAGGCCCUCGGGUUGUAAAGCACUUUCAGUGAGGAAGAACGCCUGGUGGUUAAUACCCAUCAGGAAAGACAUCACUCACAGAAGAAGCACCGGCUAACUCCGUGCCAGCAGCCGAGGUAAUACGGAGGGUGCGAGCGUUAAUCGGAAUUACUGGGCGUAAAGCGCGCGUAGGUGGCUUGAUAAGCCGGUUGUGAAAGCCCCGGGCUCAACCUGGGAACGGCAUCCGGAACUGUCAAGCUAGAGUGCAGGAGAGGAAGGUAGAAUUCCCGGUGUAGCGGUGAAAUGCGUAGAGAUCGGGAGGAAUACCAGUGGCGAAGGCGGCCUUCUGGACUGACACUGACACUGAGGUGCGAAAGCGUGGGUAGCAAACAGGAUUAGAUACCCGUGUAGUC
rnacentral:rRNA from 1 species